CCAAAGAAGAAUGCCUCGAGCUCGUCCUCUCAACAUAAGAACAAGGGGAAGAAGAUCGCUCCAUAAUCUCCCAUCUCGCACUUCAGUCCGAUGGUGGAGAGGGAGCUCGUAGUUGACCCCAACACAUACUUCAAGGCUGAGCGUAUCAUUUCAAAGAUCACGACCCAGGGGAGGGUAAAUAAGAUUAUGUUAAGCCACAACAUAGAGGUCGAAGCUGGAACUCUCCUUGUCCGUCCUGCGUUCGAAGGGGAACAGAGCUGUUCCCCUCUCCGAGACGACUUUGCGGCUUGGAGUGAUGAGCACUUGAAGGCUGGGGCCUUCCAUCCCAUGGACCAAUAUUUCGCAAAUUUCUUGAAUUACGCGAAGCUUGCUCCAUUCCAGCUCGCCCCAAAUUCGUAUACACUUUUGGUGGGGUUGAAGUACAUGUUUUUUAAGCGUAAGUAGGAGGUCCCCACCUCAGCAGACAUACUGUACUUCUUCUGCCUCAAAGCUAGCCCUGAUCAGAAAGGGCGAGGUGACGAAUUCUAUUACCUCAUGUGGUUUCCCAACUCCGCCCCUGUCAUCGAGCUUCAAAGUCAUCCAAAUGACUACAAAGACUUGUUCUUUAUGUCCAAUGGAUUCUAGAACUGCGAACAUCGAUACUUCAACUGACUUCCCAUAUUUGCGAGGACGGAAAAGUCUGUGACCCUUAGGGGCCAGUAUGAGAAGCUAUCUAGACUUCCCCCCAAUGAAAAGGACUAUCGCCAGGUCGUGAAUGAUGUCACGAUGCUGGCCUGCCAGUUGAUCAGUGAAGGUCAAAUAUAGGCCUUGCGGACUCGGGCUACCCUUCUGACGAUCCCCGAGCUCGCAUCCUCUUAAGAGGCCUUUCCGACCAUUGAGGACGAAGAGGACGAGCUGCCUUUAGUGUGAAAAAUGCGGGCUCUCGAGGCUAUCUGGGAACUCGAUCUAGAACGAGUUGCAUCAGGGGUAGCAGUCGGCCCCUCCGGCCAAGGUAACUCAUACCCCUUUAGGGAAUUAGAUAGGGCUGUUGCCGAUUUUAGGUUAGUUCGUUUUAACCCAAAUCAGCUCGUCUACAUUCAUUGAACCCCUUAGGAUCCUAGAAAUAUUAACUGUAGAUUCCCCUUCUCAUCCAUUAGUUCCAAGGUUGGAGGUCGUACCUAUUCCGGUCAAAACACCCGAGCUGGUGAUAAUAGACUCCUCCCCCAACCCAAAGGGUGAAGAGAUGGAACAACCAGGAGCCCCCGAUCUCCGAGCUGCUAUCUAGGCUAAGAAAGUCGGCUUGGGCCCCGUCGUAAAGAAUCCCAGGUUUACGAAGAAGGCCACCCCUGCAACGGGGAACACCUCAAAACCCCCCACCAAAAAUAAGGAGACGAGCUUGACUUGGGAGCCAACUCCUGUGGCUAAGGUUACUACCGAGCAACUUCCUCCUCCCCUACCUCGCUUCAUGGCCCCUCAAGUUAUACAGACCGAGGCGCCAAGACCCCACCGUCCGAAUACACCAGUAAACCCUCAGGACCUAGAGAAGAUCCCUGAAGCCUUUCGGGGUAUCGUUUAUGAGACUACGACUCACAUGGUGGGGCACGCCUACAACGUCAGCGUGAGGGAUUUGAGGACCAUCGAGGAACGUGCCGCCUUGACUUCUACUCAAGAAGGCGAGCAGGCCGCCAAAGCUGCUUUGACGGCUGCUCAGAAGAAUGAGCAUGAUGCCAGGGCUGCUCUCGCGUCAUCCCAAGAAAACGAGUAGGUUCCAAAGACUGCAUUGUUUGCCUCCCAAGCUCAAAUUGCACAACUUCAGGCCGAGGUUGAUGAGGUCAAAGCAAAGUUGCUCGAGGCUGAAGUCACAACCAAAGAAGAAAAAGCAACAUCAUCAUCGGCCAUGGAAGAGAUGUUGUACCAUUGUUGGGCCUUCAACUCGGAUGAGAACUUGUCUCUCAUGAAAUUCGGGCUGUGGGAUCCGUACCUUGCAAAAUUCAAGGCUCGGCUCUUGCAACAACUGUCAGAGACUGGUGAUGUGUUUGGAAUGACGGAGGGAGAUGGCGAGGAGGUCAUAUCUUCGGGGCGAGCUGAUGGAGCCCAAUGAUAUCCCCUUUGUAUUUAUUUUUUGUUUGUAAUUGUUUAACAUUUUUUUGAUAUUAAAAAAUUGCUUUCGGGCCCAGUUCGAGGUUUUUUCUCCUCAUGUAAU